rnacentral:rRNA from 1 species
GACGGAGGAUGCAAGCGUUAUCCGGAAUGAUUGGGCGUAAAGCGUCCGCAGGUGGCAGUUCAAGUCUGCUGUCAAAGACCGGGGCUUAACUUCGGAAAGGCAGUGGAAACUGAACAGCUAGAGUAUGGUAGGGGCAGAGGGAAUUCCUGGUGUAGCGGUGAAAUGCGUAGAGAUCAGGAAGAACAUCGGUGGCGAAGGCGGCCGACUGGCCGAGUGCUGACGCUGAGGCGCGACGGCGUGGGGAGCAAACCGG